AUUAAUGAAGUCAGGAGGGCCAGACUAUGCUGUACCACUUGGCCGACGCGACUCACUAGCAUUCGCGAGCCAGAACACAACGUUAAACAACUUGCCGCCACCAUUCGCCAACGCGAGCCAACUCAUCGCCGACUUCGCCAAUAGAAACCUCGACAUCACCGACUUGGUUGCACUCUCCGGUGGACACACCAUCGGGAUCGCGCAUUGUCCGUCUUUCACAGACCGUCUCUACCCGAACCAAGACCCAACCAUGAACAAGUCCUUCGCCAACAACCUUAAACGCACUUGCCCCACCGCUAACUCGAGCAACACGCAAGUGAAUGACAUAAGGAGCCCUGACGUGUUUGACAACAAGUACUACGUUGAUCUCAUGAACCGACAAGGGCU
rnacentral:lncRNA from 1 species